UACGUAGGCAGCGAGCGUUGUUCGGAGUUACUGGGCGUAAAGGGUGCGUAGGCGGUUGUUUUAAGUUUGGUGUGAAAUCUCCCGGCUCAACUGGGAGGGUGCGCCGAAUACUGAAUGACUAGAGUGCGGGAGAGGAUAGUGGAAUUCCUGGUGUAGCGGUGAAAUGCGUAGAUAUCAGGAGGAACACCUGUGGUGUAGACAGCUUACUGGACCACUUCUGACGCUGAGACACGAAAGCGUGGGUAGCAAACAGG
rnacentral:rRNA from 1 species